GAUGAACGCUGGCGGCGUGCCUAAUACAUGCAAGUCGAGCGAACAGACGAGGAGCUUGCUCCUCUGACGUUAGCGGCGGACGGGUGAGUAACACGUGGAUAACCUACCUAUAAGACUGGGAUAACUUCGGGAAACCGGAGCUAAUGCCGGAUAAUAUAUUGAACCGCAUGGUUCAAUAGUGAAAGACGGUUUUGCUGUCACUUAUAGAUGGAUCCGCGCCGCAUUAGCUAGUUGGUAAGGUAACGGCUUACCAAGGCAACGAUGCGUAGCCGACCUGAGAGGGUGAUCGGCCACACUAGAACUGAGACACGGUCCAGACUCCUACGGGAGGCAGCAGUAGGGAAUCUUCCGCAAUGGGCGAAAGCGUGACGGAGCAACGCCGCGUGAGUGAUGAAGGUCUUCGGAUCGUAAAACUCUGUUAUUAGGGAAGAACAAAUGUGUAAGUAACUAUGCACGUCUUGACGGUACCUAAUCAGAAAGCCACGGCUAACUACGUG
rnacentral:rRNA from 1 species